rnacentral:rRNA from 1 species
AAACUUUCAACAACGGAUCUCUUGGUUCUCGCGACGAUGAAGAACGCAGCGAAAUGCGAUACGUAAUGUGAAUUGCAGGUUUUCGUGAAUCAUCGAAUCUUUGAACGCAUAUUGCGCCCUCUGGUAUUCCGGAGGGCAUGCCUGUUUGAGCGUCAUU